UACAGAGGGUGCGAGCGUUGUCCGGAAUCACUGGGCGUAAAGGGCGUGUAGGUGGUUGUGUAAGUCUGGCGUGAAAUUUUUCGGCUUAACCGGGAAAGGUCGUCGGAUACUGCAGAACUAGAGGACGGUAGAGGCGUGUGGAAUUCCGGGUGUAGUGGUGAAAUGCGUAGAGAUCCGGAGGAACACCAGUGGCGAAGGCGACACGCUGGGCCGUACCUGACACUGAUGCGCGACAGCAUGGGGAGCAAACAGG
rnacentral:rRNA from 1 species